AACGAACGCUGGCGGCAGGCUUAACACAUGCAAGUCGAACGAGAUCUUCGGAUCUAGUGGCAGACGGGUGAGGAACACGUGGGAACAUCCCUUUCAGUUCGGAAUAACGUUGGGAAACUAACGCUAAUACCGUAUACGUCCCUCGGGAGAAAGAUUUAUCGCUGAAAGAUUGGCCCGCGUCUGAUUAGCUAGUUGGUGAGGUAACGGCUCACCAAGGCUACGAUCAGUAGCUGAUCUGAGAGGAUGAUCGGCCACAUUGGGACUGAGACACGGCCCAAACUCCUACGGGAGGCAGCAGUGGGGAAUAUUGGACAAUGGGCGCAAGCCUGAUCCAGCCAUGCCGCGUGAGUGAUGACGGCCUUCGGGUUGUAAAGCUCUUUUGUCCGGGAAGAUAAUGACUGUACCGGAAGAAUAAGCCCCGGCAAACUUCGUGCCAGCAGCCGCAGUAA
rnacentral:rRNA from 1 species